UCGAGAAUUUUUCACAAUGGGGGAAACCCUGAUGGAGCGACGCCGCGUGGGGGAUGAAUGGCUUCGGCCCGUAAACCCCUGUCAUUUGCGAACAAACCUGAUGGUUGAACAGACUGUCAGCUGAUAGUAGCAGAAGAGGAAGGGACGGCUAACUCUGUGCCAGCAGCCGCGGUAAUACAGAGGUCCCAAGCGUUGUUCGGAUUCACUGGGCGUAAAGGGUGCGUAGGCGGUAAGGUAAGUUUGAGGUGAAAUCUCCGGGCUUAACCCGGAAAUUGCCUUGAAGACUAUCUUGCUAGAGGAUCGGAGGGGAGACUGGAAUUCUCGGUGUAGCAGUGAAAUGCGUAGAUAUCGAGAGGAACACCAGUGGCGAAGGCGAGUCUCUGGACGAUUCCUGACGCUGAGGCACGAAAGCCAGGGGAGCAAACGGG
rnacentral:rRNA from 1 species